rnacentral:rRNA from 1 species
GUUAAGCGACUAAGCGUACACGGUGGAUGCCCUGGCAGUCAGAGGCGAUGAAGGACGUGCUAAUCUGCGAUAAGCGUCGGUAAGGUGAUAUGAACCGUUAUAACCGGCGAUUUCCGAAUGGGGAAACCCAGUGUGAUUCGUCACACUAUCAUUAACUGAAUCCAUAGGUUAAUGAGGCGAACCGGGGGAACUGAAACAUCUAAGUACCCCGAGGAAAAGAAAUCAACCGAGAUUCCCCCAGUAGCGGCGAGCGAACGGGGAGCAGCCCAGAGCCUGAAUCAGUGUGUGUGUUAGUGGAAGCGUCUGGAAAGGCGCGCGAUACAGGGUGACAGCCCCGUACACAAAAAUGCACAUGCUGUGAGCUCGAUGAGUAGGGCGGGACACGUGGUAUCCUGUCUGAAUAUGGGGGGACCAUCCUCCAAGGCUAAAUACUCCUGACUGACCGAUAGUGAACCAGUACCGUGAGGGAAAGGCGAAAAGAACCCCGGCGAGGGGAGUGAAAAAGAACCUGAAACCGUGUACGUACAAGCAGUGGGAGCACGCUUAGGCGUGUGACUGCGUACCUUUUGUAUAAUGGGUCAGCGACUUAUAUUCUGUAGCAAGGUUAACCGAAUAGGGGAGCCGAAGGGAAACCGAGUCUUAACUGGGCGUUAAGUUGCAGGGUAUAGACCCGAAACCCGGUGAUCUAGCCAUGGGCAGGUUGAAGGUUGGGUAACACUAACUGGAGGACCGAACCGACUAAUGUUGAAAAAUUAGCGGAUGACUUGUGGCUGGGGGUGAAAGGCCAAUCAAACCGGGAGAUAGCUGGUUCUCCCCGAAAGCUAUUUAGGUAGCGCCUCGUGAAUUCAUCUCCGGGGGUAGAGCACUGUUUCGGCAAGGGGGUCAUCCCGACUUACCAACCCGAUGCAAACUGCGAAUACCGGAGAAUGUUAUCACGGGAGACACACGGCGGGUGCUAACGUCCGUCGUGAAGAGGGAAACAACCCAGACCGCCAGCUAAGGUCCCAAAGUCAUGGUUAAGUGGGAAACGAUGUGGGAAGGCCCAGACAGCCAGGAUGUUGGCUUAGAAGCAGCCAUCAUUUAAAGAAAGCGUAAUAGCUCACUGGUCGAGUCGGCCUGCGCGGAAGAUGUAACGGGGCUAAACCAUGCACCGAAGCUGCGGCAGCGACGCU